AGACAGGUCGCAGCGUCACAGCCCUGUGUGUCGGUCGGGACCUAGCGUUAGCUGCGGUGUAAGCUGCGGGGAGAGGCGGUUCUUGAAGGCGUGGAAACCCACUUGACGUUACCGAUAACGGGAUAUCGAUCCCAAGUGAUCGGUGCCGAUGAAACGACCCGUCUCGUGUGGACCCGGAGGAGAAGAAGAGACUUUUACAGUCACACGGUUCUUCAGAUACAACCGGAAGGACCCACCAGAGCCCGGAUGUGUGGACUAACGUGUUGAAGAGGACUUUGUAGAGGGAGACGGACCCGAACGGAGCCGAGCGACACCGAGCGGGGCCGAGUGAGCGAAGCGUUUUUAACGGAGUUGUCUGGAGGAAACGUUUCUGUGAGCUCGUGAAGAUGUCUAAAGUCCAACAGCUGAGAUGUUUAGUCAACCAGCGACUAACUGCGGCUGCGCAAGAGAUCUUUGGUCUGUUUGAAAGAACGAUAGCAGAGUACGAGGAGGAACUUUGUAGUUCCAGAGAGGAGAACGAGCGACACCGGAAACGACUGGACGCUGUGUUCAACCCGGAAGUCCGGUUACAAAGAGCAGAGGACCCAGAGCCCCCCCACAUUAAAGAGGAACAGGAGGACAUAGAGCCCCCACACAUUAAAGAGGAACAGGAGGACAUAGAGCCCUCCCACAUUAAAGAGGACCAGGAGGACCCAGAGCCCCCCCACAUUAAAGAGGAACAGGAGGAACUCUGGACCAGUCAGGAGGGAAAGCAGCUUCAAGGGCUGGAGGAGGCUGGUCUCAAGUUGUCAUUCACUGUAAAGAGUGAAGAUGAUGAAGAGGAAGCUCAGUCCUCUCAGCUUCAUCAAAGACAAACUGAACACAUGGAAACAGAAGCUGAUGGAGCGGAUUGUGGAGGACCAGAACCAGACAGGAAGUUAGAUCCAGAAAGACAUCCAGGACCAGAUACUGAUGAGACUGAGGACAGUGAUGAUCGGGAGGAGACUGAGGAACCUCAGUCAGAUGUGAACCCUCAAAACAAAGAAGUACCUGUAAGUGAUGUGAACUGUAGUACUGGAAAUACAUCAAUCAGCUCUCCUGAAUGUGCUGGAAGCUCUGACCACAAGGGACAUCUGGAGAAACCCACUAGCUCCAAAACAGGAGAGAAACCAUUUCAAUGCUCACUUUGUGACAAAAGAUUUGGAUUCAAUAAGUAUCUAAAGAGACACAUGAUUGUCCACACAGGAGAGAAACCAUUCAGUUGUUCAGUGUGUCGUAAAACAUUUAAACAAAAGAGAAACCUAAAUGCUCACAUGGUUGUCCACACAGGAGAGAAACCAUUUAGUUGUUCAGUGUGUAGUAAAACAUUUACACAAAAGAGAAACCUAAAUGCUCACAUGUGUAUCCAUACAGGAGAGAAACCAUUUAGUUGUUCAGUGUGUAGUAAAACGUUUACACAAAUGAGAAGUCUGAACGAACACAUGUUUAUCCACACAGGAGAGAAACCAUUUAGUUGUUCCGUGUGUAGUAAAACAUUUUCACUUAAGAGAAACCUGAACGCUCACAUGGUUGUCCACACAGGAGAGAAACCAUUUAGUUGUUCAGUUUGUGAUAAAACAUUUUCACAUACUGGACAUCUGAAACGACAUUUAUUUGUCCACACUUUAGAAACAAACACUUAAAAACUGUCAGGCUGAUACAGACUCCAACAUAAAUCUAUUCAGCUGAGAUUAAGCUUCACAUCAAUUUAUAUUCUUUGACGUCAGUUUCUCUGGUAUCGUCUUAUGUUUCAUGUGUUAUGUAUUGUCAUGUAAAUAUGAAUUUAAAUGGUUUUCCAUUGUCAAAGUAUUUCAUGUCCUCUAUGCAGCACUGUGGUUUGAGCUGAAUUCUCAUCGGUGAUGAAACUGAGGAACAUUUGUAACCUUCUUUCUCUUCAGCAACGUUUCUCUUCAGUUUAAACUCAAUACUUCCUUGAUUUAGUUUUACUGUAGAAACUGACAUUUUGUUCCAUAACUGAAGAAUGACUGAAUUGAGAACAGAAUUGUGGUUAAUUGUC